rnacentral:rRNA from 1 species
UUGCAAAAGAAGUAGGUAGCUUAACCUCCGGGAGGGCGCUUACCACUUUGUGAUUCAUGACUGGGGUGAAGUCGUAACAAGGUAACCGUAGGGGAACCUGCGGUUGGAUCACCUCCUUA